rnacentral:misc_RNA from 1 species
UCUCUUUGAAUUGAUGAGAGAAGAUGAAGAGGGGAGAGAGAGAGCUAUAGGUGGCGGCACACUUGAGGGAAUAAGAAGAGUGGCUGAAUUUUUCUUUCUUUUCUCUUUUAUAAUUAGGUCAUCACUUAAACCCUUUGCCACAUGUCAUCACCACAUUGCAUCUUAUUUUUAAUUGACUUAAUCACAUUAAGCAAAGUGUCAAAGCUAGACUUAAUCU